UGGUAAAAAAGACAUGCUAGUUAUAGCACUGUCAAAAUAAGUGCAGUAUUUCCUAUGAGAGAUGUCAAACAUUUCAUCUUCCAAAAGACUAUACUGUGCAAAAAUGCUAAGCAAGAUGGUGGAGAGAUCGUAGUCAAACUAUCCACAUCCUUUUGAUGAACAGUGUCACAUCACUUUCAUAAAAGAAUGGAAGUUUGUGCUGGAACCACAUAGAGAUUGAAUCAUGAAGUGUGAUGAAGCAUGUCGUCUUCCAGUUUUCCAGUUUCCAAGUUUGAUAACUAGGUCAAGAGGGAAUGACUUCAAGAUGUGCAAGGGGAGGUUCCAGUUAGAAAUUAUGAGACAUUUCUUCUCAGAAAGAGUGGGUUACUGAAUGCUGGAACAGGUUCCCUGCUGAGGUCUUCAUGUUUGGGGCUAGAUAAAACCUAACUGGACACAGCCAUGGACAACCUGAUCUACUUCAACCUGCUUUUAGCAGAGACUUGGAAUAGACAAUCUCCAGAGGUCCCUUUCCAUCUCAGUUCUUAUGUGAUUUCUUAGCUGCUUGGGGCAAGACUGAUUUGGAGAAUUUCCCUGUUGUACAUACAUCAUUCAGCCAUUUUCCUUGCUAGAACCAAAAUCACUAAUUGUUCUGACAGUUUACAGCAUAUACACUAAAAUAAUAGGCAUUUAUCACCUAUGUUUCAUAAAUCACUUCCUCUACAGUAUACUAACUGUAUUUCAGUAUUCAAUAUUAACCUUCAAAACUGCUCUCAAAGAACUCUGUUCUCUGAAAGUAUUCCUAUUCCAAAUUAAUAAAAAUAUUCCUUUACAAAAUAGUUUCAUCUGCUGAAAAAAGCUACUGUUGUCACUGAAACAAUUCUUUCCUACUUACACUCCCCAAAAUAGACAAGCUUUUAGUAGGUUAAUUCAAUGUGCCCAAUAUUUUAGAUAAUGUUAUUAUUAAGAACAGCUGAUUUUGCACUAGAAGUCAUCAUUAUGUAAAACAUCUGUGCCUUUUACUCCUCAUGAAGCUUUAAUGGGUCUAUUACAGAUACUAAUGACUUCUUCAAGGUAUCAGUAGAUAAUCAGAAAAUAUUAAUGGAACACUGUCCAUAAGGACUAAAUACAAAACAAAACUCUUUGCUACCUUUUGUUCUCUGCACAUCUUCGCUUGUCUAUACUUCUAUGAAAUUACACGUCCUCUGUUUUAUCAACAGUCUAAGACUAAUGGCCCCACCCAUGCCCAUUCUUCUCUCACCCACAUUGCUACUGAAGUCCCGUGUUAGACAUAACAACACUAAUUAGGGAAGAAAAAAAAAACAACAAAGGGGGGAUCAGAAUGUAUAACAAUCCAGUUUGAAUCCAGUUUGAAAUCCAUUUCCGUGUGAUUUGCUAUCAGUGCCACUGUCUUCUACAAUAAAUCUUAUUGAGUUUUAUUUAAACUGUCUGCAAUUUAAGAGAAAAAAUAAAUUUAUAUAUUUUUCUUUUCACAGAUUGGGACUUUUUAGGCCAGGAAGUUUAUUUGCUGUAUUGGGUUUAUGGUGCGAAGUCUUCACAGCAGGGGGCCUACAGGGGUGGCCUCUGAGAAGUUUCAGCCAGCUCCAAAAGGGACCUGCCACUGGCCGCAGCCAAGCUAGUGAGUGACACCGGUUGUGGCUUUGUCAGAGCAAAUUAAGAAGGGGAAAAGAAACUGCUGCACAACAGCAGCUGGAAGAGAGGAGUGAGAACCAGCCCUCCAGACACUAAGGUCAGUGCAGAAGGGCAGGAGGUGCUCCAGGCAUGCAGCAGCAGUUUCCCUGCAGCCUGGUGGAGCAGGCUGUCCCCCUGCAGCCCGAGUCACACAUGGAGCAGACCUCCACGCUGCAGCCCGUGGAGGAGCCCCCGAUGGAGCAGGGGGAUGUGGCCUGGAGGGGGCUGCAGCCCAUGGAGAGCCCCCACAGGAGCAGGUCUCAGGCUGGAGCUGCAGCCUGUGGAGAGGAGCCCACGCAGGAGCAGGGGGUCUGGGGGGAGCUGCCACCCCUAAGGGACCCGUGCUGGAGCAGUUUACUCCUGGGGGAUGGCCCCAUGGUAGGGAGCCAUGUGGGAGCAGUUCUUGAAGAUCUGCUGCCUGCAGGCAGCCCCUGCAAGCUCAGUUCAGGAAGGACGGCAUUCUGUGGGAGGGACCCCAUGUGGAGCAGGGGAAGAGUGACUGUGGAGGAGCUGCAGAGAUGAAGUGUUAGGGGCUGACCACAGCCCCCAUUCCCUACACACCUGCACCACUCAGAGGGAGGUCGUAGAAGGGAGUGAAUCGGGGACAAGAUGUUUUUAGUUUGCUUUCAGUUUCUCACUGCUCUAGUAUGUUAGUGACAUAGGCAAUACAUUAUAUUAAUCUUCCAGUGCUGAGUCUGUUUUGCCCAUGAUGAUAAUCAGUGAGUGACCUCUAUGUCCUUAUUUCAAUCCUUGAGUUCUUUUCAUUGUAUUUGCUCCCCCUUCUCCUUUGAGGAGAGGGAGUGAGAGAGAGGUUGUGGUGGAGUUCUACUGCCUAGUGGGGUAAAACACUUGCUUCCUUUUUCCAAAGAAUGAAAAAUAUUGUUAUAUUAAAAUCAGUGUAAUAGCAACAUAAGGCUCAAGACCAGGAGCUGUGUAGGUAUUAAAAAUCUUGAAAACUUGCUAUACAGUAUUUGAUUAGAAAACUGAUGUUUUAGCUUCAAACUAAUUCACUUAAGGGUCUCACUAAUACAGGUUGUAGAAAAUUUUGAUGGAAAAUAUAUUUAGAACAUCCUGGAAAAUCAUGUUUGAGUUUUAUGUGUUUUGUUAUUUUUUUCCUAAUUUUAUAGAAGGUCUCAGUCAUAACGAGGAAUUGUGACACAAGUAAAACUGACCCAAGAUCUUUCCAUGAAAAGCAGAAAUGGUUCCCAAUGAAUUAUAGUAUGUAACAUUUCCUGCCAUAGCCAGUAAGAGGUGGAAAUACUCAGCACUUGUUUGCAAUACUUAUAGCUUGCAUGCAGAAAACGUUAGGUAACAAAAACUUCAGUAGUUCUUGCCCUCCAGUAGUCUUGUUUGAAGAUUCAGUAUCAGCUAUAGAUUUGAGUGUGUUUCACCCUAAAUGUGAAAAUAUUGACUUUAAAAUCAACACUACAUCUUAAAUCUUUGGGUUUAUUUCUUUUUUUUCUACAUGAUUAUUAAUGAUCUGUAGUUACAUACCUUCUUCCAGUUUACGUAUUUUAUCUCUUUUUCUGGAUGUAUCUAAUUCAACUUCUUCACACACCUCACCCAUUUUAAAAUGCAUUACAAAUUAACCUUUGACUGUUAAUGUAUUGCAGCAGGACAAUUCAAAAUAGGUUUUUUAAGUGUUAGAAUUCUAAUUCUAAUAGUUAAAAAUGAUUCAGUUUAAAAAUAUAGUAAAAAAGAAUAUUUUUACGUUAACAAAAUAUAGUAAUAAUAAUUCUGGAUACAAUUCAAGUGUCUGAGGGAAUAUAAAUAUGAAAUGUAAUAUAGUUUCCAGUCUUUAACUACAGUCUGCUAUGGUUUUGAUAAACAGUACUUUUUAAUCCAACUUUUUGCAAACCACUAAACUGCAUGCUGAGUAUGCAUGAUGUGAUUGCUGAGAUUUGUCUUAGCCUGACAAUGAAGUGGUCAGACUGUAUUUCUGUGCAAAGUGUGAGCUAGUGCUGUGAUUCAUUGCUUGGUUAUCUCUGUAUAUCAGAUACACGCUUUUAUAAUACGAGCAGCCUAUUCCCUACCUAAACACAUUUAUGUUUGAUGUUUAAAGUUAAAGCCUCCUUCACAGUUUUCCCUUCUUCCCAAGUUUAUGGGUAAUAUCUAACACAGACACUGGAAGAUAUAAUCUCUAAAUAACAAGUUAGAUCAUAAAAGUAACAGAAAAAAUAGUCUACCUCUUAGUUUUUCUUCAUCUUUCAUCCCUUUAAACUCUUCCUGUAAGACUACGCAGAAACAGUAGAUAUAAAAUUUCAACUUUUUUUUCUCAGGAUUUUCAGUACAAUUUACAGACAUGAAGCUAUGACAGAAUGUGAUCCACUUUUGUGUCUCUUUUCCCUCCCCAUUAUGAUUAAAGGCAGAUUAAAUUAAUGAUUUCAGAAUACUGUACAGAACAGCUUGAAAUCAAGGGAAGAGUACCUACACUCUAUUACAGUUCAGGGAAACAAACAAAAUGAAAAAACAACAAGCUAAAACUUUACAAGCCAAUAACUGCACAUGUCAAUUCCAAUUGUAAAAAUCUGUCACUGAAUUAUAUGUGCCCAUAAUGCUAUAUAUUGAAUUAAAAAAUAGUUUUUAGAAAAUAGAUAAAUAAAAAAGUCCAGAUCCUAUUUUCUUUAUUUCUGAAGUUUGCAAAAUCAAAACAUGAUUGACUUUCUGGACUCUGUCUCUUUCAAUGAGUGUUUGUAUAAGCAUCAUUCAGCAAUUUGUGUCUGAAAAGCAGUCUUGCAACUGUGUACUGGAUACCAGCAAUACUUCCUGAUUCAUUUGAGUAAUUAUAAGGAACAGAACAUUCAGGGAGCAGAGAAUGUUUCAAGUCCUGAAGAAACUACUCAGAACAAUAAUGUGUAACAUUUCAUCAGGUCUGGUGUAACAACUUCUUAGUGGAGGUCAGGUUAAAUCAUAUUUAAACCACAAUAGGUUAGCAAUGCAGUGACUCUUAAAGGAAUCUAUGACAGUUAAAUUCCAAAUAAAAAGAAAAACAGGGACUAAACAACAAAAUUGUAAAAGACACACAAAUAUAGGUAUCUAAACCUAUAGUAGAUUACAUAUCCAUAGAGUAAAGUGCAUCAUCCAAUCAAUUAUUUUCUCAUUUAAAUCUUAAAACACCCUUCCUGCA